CAAAACCAAAAAAAAAGAAGAUGGAUUAAAAAACCGCAGAAAAAGAAC
rnacentral:sRNA from 1 species